AUUGAACGCUGGCGGCAGGCCUAACACAUGCAAGUCGAGCGGAGCGGCGGACGGGUGAGUAAUACCUAGGAAUCUGCCUGGUAGUGGGGGAUAACGUUCGGAAACGGGCGCUAAUACCGCAUACUAUCAGAUGAGCCUAGGUCGGAUUAGCUAGUUGGUGAGGUAAUGGCUCACCAAGGCGACGAUCCGUAACUGGUCUGAGAGGCUGAUCAGUCAGACUGGAACGGAGAGACGGGCCAGACGCCUACGGGAGGCAGCAGUGGGGAAUAUUGGACAAUGGGCGAAAGCCUGAUCCAGCCAUGACGCGUGUGUGAAGAAGGUCUUCGGAUUGUAAAGCACUUUAAGUUGGGAGGCGUUACCGACAGAAUAAGCACCGGAUAACUCCGGGCCAGCAGCCGCGGUAAUUC
rnacentral:rRNA from 1 species